UACGUAGGGUGCGAGCGUUGUCCGGAUUUAUUGGGCGUAAAGAGCUCGUAGGCGGUUUGUCGCGUCGGCCGUGAAAUCUCCACGCUUAACGUGGAGUGUGCGGUCGAUACGGGCAGACUUGAGUUCGGUAGGGGAGACUGGAAUUCCUGGUGUAGCGGUGAAAUGCGCAGAUAUCAGGAGGAACACCGGUGGCGAAGGCGGGUCUCUGGACAGUUCCUGACGCUGAGGCACGAAGGUCAGGGGAGCAAACGGG
rnacentral:rRNA from 1 species